GUGCUCGCUUCGGCAGCACAUAUACUAAAAUUGGAACAACACAGAGAAGAUUAGCAUGGCCCCUGAGCAAGGAUGACAUGCAAAUUCUAUAUUUUAUUUAAAAUUUU
ensembl:snRNA U6 U6 spliceosomal RNA